UAUUCUUCUUUUUUCCUUCUUGAACGGUGAACUUCGAUAUAAAUGUACGAAGAAAAAAAAAACUGUUUGAAAAUAAUUUGGAACAUUAGAAAUAUCAAAGCUUUCCCUUUAAACUCUAUUUUCAUCCUCGGAUUCCUCCCCUUUAACGGGAAUAUAUCUUGCUCAUUGCAUAACUCUCGCAUUGCCAUUUUUAUCGCGGCGAAAAAAAAGAAAAAGAAAAAAAGAAAAAAAGAAAAAGAAAGAAAGAAUGAAAAAUCAGUAAAUGAAAAGUGUUGUUACGGAUACUUUGAACGAAGGAUCGAUUUUUCCCUUGACAAUUGACAAUUGAAAUUGUGGAUCGUAACAUUCGAGAAGCCAACUCUCGCGAGACGUGGGUGCCUUUGUUUUCUCCCCCAAUGUCGAGGAGGAAGAGAUGAAGGUGGAGUAAGAGGAGGAGAAGGUGGAGGAGAGAUGGUGGUGGAACGUUUCUGUGCGCCAUUAACGAAGCAGACGAGCGGAGCAAAGCAGAAGCUAAUAGAUCUGAUUCGAUAUCGCGAAGCAGCAAGAAGGGUUCCGCAAGCGAGCGAGCGAGUAAGCAUAGCUAUAGCUCGACUAUCGUGGUUUCUCUCUCCUUUUCUUCUUCUCUUCCUUCUUUCUUCUCUCUUUUCCCUUACAUCCCUUUCACUAUUCUCUUUCUCUCUCUCUCUCUCUCUCUCUCUCUCUCUCUCUCUCUCUCUCUCUCUCGCUCUCUGUCUUCCUUCUUCUCCUCCUAUAAUUCUUCAACCCCGUCUCUUACAGUAAGAGGUACAGUGUAGUAAUUUAGAGGAGGACCCUCGCGCCUCGACUCGACCGAGCGAGACCUCGAAGAAGGCUAAGUUCGUUCUCAAGGUAAAGAAGAAACUUAGAAGACGGAAGUCGAAAGACUCUUCUGGUGCUGCUACUACUAACUACUACUACUACUACUACUACUACUACUACUACUACUACUACUACUACUACUACUACUACUACUACUACUAUUGUUACUGCUGCUUGUUGGUUGAUGCUAUAGUGCUAGUGCUGCUGCUAGUGCUCCUGCUGCUGUUAGAAAUUACGUUCAACCGAGUAGACGACCGAAGAAAGAAGAAUGAAUCGGUCGCAACAACCGUUAAUGGUUACUUUCCUUUUACUCCUUCGAAAGGCUUAGAAAGAUCAAAACUAAAGAUAUUAUUAAAAGAUAUUAUUAUCAUGAUUCCUCCAUUUUCCAACUUCCUCGUUUAGAAAAGAUUUAUCCGAUUAGAUCAUCUCGAUCAUUUCUAUUAUUAAAUGAUAAAUAACGAUUAACUAUCUGAUACGAUAAGAAAUAAUAAAAUGUAUAUCGAUAAAAGUGUAAUCUAUGUAAAAGAAUAUUUUUUCUAAAUUGCAUCGAUUACGGUUCGAUCGUGUAACUUAAAGAACGGAGGAUUUCGACGAAGUCGAAAGUCGUUCAAUGUUGUGAUUUCGUUCGAUGGACGAGGAGAAAAAGAAAGCAGAAAAAAAAAAAAGAAAAAAAUAAGCCAAAGUAAUAAGACGUCAAAAGGUGUUGUCGAGACUAACGUAAAGGUGAGAAGGACGUAAGGGGUUCGGACACGAAGUCUAGACAAUCAAAACGUUGGACGAAUCGGACCCCUCAGUUAUUUUCCAUCCGCCACGUAAGAAGCUCUAUAAAAACUCAACGAGGACUCUACGACGAUUGACCCUGACCUAUCCCCACGUAUAAAUGUCGUAAAAGAUCUCGAGACACGAGGUACGAAAAGGCGCUCCAUCGUGAAAGAAAGUCGUGUAAGCGAUAACAAAGCUGCCAUUAUAUUCGCUUCGUUGUUUCUCUCUUUCUCUCUCUUUCUCUCUCUUUCUCUCUCUCCUUCUCUUUCGAUGUGUUUACGAACGUACGCGAAGACCUUUCGAUAUUUCUCCCUCGACUUCUCUUAUACAUGGUCGAUGCAAUCGCCUUUCAAAAGCGAGUAGGAACUUCACUCUGUUGCAACACUUGGCACUUUCGCCAUUAGAUUUGGCACUUGUACUUUUCCCGUCGGUCAAACGCAAUCUUGUGUCUUCUCUAAUAGACACAAUGUCCAUUACUUUAUUUUUCUUUCUUUUUUUUUUCUUUUUAAGGAAAACGAGAGAUUAAAACGAAAAAAAAAGAAAAAAAAAUUCGUCAAAUUUAUACGCACAAGAGUAUACACAUGCGUAUUCAGCGCGCUUGUUUGACGAUCGCUUAUACGUAAAAAGAUAAAUAUUAUUUCGAGAUUUAUCUGGUUUUAAUUUCAAAUGAUAUAAAAGCAGGAACACGUCGAAGUAUUAUAAGCCAAGACAAACUAAUAUGUAUUUAUAAAUCAUUAUCGCAAUUCCGUUGUGUAACUUAGUUGGUAAUACGUUUUUGUCUCUCUUGUCCUAGAUAGUCCAAGACUCGAUAUAACAGAUAUAUCAUUAGCUAGAUUGAUCGAGACGCAAUUAAAGAACUAAAUCAAAUCCUUAUGAUCUGUAUUGAUUCAAGUAAAAGUAACGGGCAUAUGUAUUGUUAUAAAAUCAAUUUUAACGAUGACGAUUAUGAUCAUAUAAUAAAUAACGAUAUAAGGAAUCGUCCAAGUGAUAUCUAAUAAAUUGAAAAUAAGGAAAGUAAAGAGAUACGGGUUAGGGAUUCUUCAUUCCUGACGUUUUCGACAUGAAUUUAUAGACCGUGUUUGUACGAUGUUGCAGUCAUGCAGUAAAGUUAGGUACCACGCGAAAGUAAAUCUCACGAAGAGGAGAAAGAUAAGAGAAAGAAGAAGAAGAAGAGAGAGAGAGAGAGAGAGAGAGAGAGAGAAAGGGAGAUUCGAUAUAACGUGGCAUCUGGUGCGAGAGCGAAGAGGCCUGAGGUUAAAGACCGAGCCAGCAGAACCGAAUUAGAAAGGUGCUCUCGGAUGACCUUUGAACUCUCUCUAUCUCCAUCUUUCGAUCUGCCUGCCCCCGCCUCCCUCUACUACUCUUGCUUAACUUAAGCUCGCAACUUGGCCGAAGGAGUGAGAACUUGGUUCCCUUACC